UCCUGUGUCUUAAUGUAUCUAAUACAGCA
rnacentral:piRNA from 1 species